rnacentral:rRNA from 1 species
UUGCUAGAUUGAUGGCGAGUGGCGAACGGGUGAGUAAUACAUCGGAACGUGCCCUGUAGUGGGGGAUAACUAGUCGAAAGAUUAGCUAAUACCGCAUACGACCUGAGGGUGAAAGUGGGGGACCGCAAGACCUCAUGCUAUAGGAGCGGCCGAUGUCUGAUUAGCUAGUUGGUGGGGUAAAGGCCCACCAAGGCGACGAUCAGUAGCUGGUCUGAGAGGACGAUCAGCCACACUGGGACUGAGACACGGCCCAGACUCCUACGGGAGGCAGCAGUGGGGAAUUUUGGACAAUGGGCGAAAGCCUGAUCCAGCAAUGCCGCGUGUGUGAAGAAGGCCUUCGGGUUGUAAAGCACUUUUGUCCGGAAAGAAAUGGCUCUGGUUAAUACCUGGGGUCGAUGACGGUACCGGAAGAAUAAGGACCGGCUAACCACGUGCCAGCAGCCGCGGUAAUACGUAGGGUCCAAGCGUUAAUCGGAAUUACUGGGCGUAAAGCGUGCGCAGGCGGUUGUGCAAGACCGAUGUGAAAUCCCCGAGCUUAACUUGGGAAUUGCAUUGGUGACUGCACGGCUAGAGUGUGUCAGAGGGGGGUAGAAUUCCACGUGUAGCAGUGAAAUGCGUAGAGAUGUGGAGGAAUACCGAUGGCGAAGGCAGCCCCCUGGGAUAACACUGACGCUCAUGCACGAAAGCGUGGGGAGCAAACAGGAUUAGAUACCCUGGUAGUCCACGCCCUAAACGAUGUCAACUAGUUGUUGGGGAUUCAUUUCCUUAGUAACGUAGCUAACGCGUGAAGUUGGCCGCCUGGGGAGUACGGUCGCAAGAUUAAAACUCAAAGGAAUUGACGGGGACCCGCACAAGCGGUGGAUGAUGUGGAUUAAUUCGAUGCAACGCGAAAAACCUUAC